rnacentral:rRNA from 1 species
CCUUUUGUAUAAUGGGUCAGCGACUUAUAUUCUGUAGCAAGGUUAACCGAAUAGGGGAGCCGAAGGGAAACCGAGUCUUAACUGGGCGUUAAGUUGCAGGGUAUAGACCCGAAACCCGGUGAUCUAGCCAUGGGCAGGUUGAAGGUUGGGUAACACUAACUGGAGGACCGAACCGACUAAUGUUGAAAAAUUAGCGGAUGACUUGUGGCUGGGGGUGAAAGGCCAAUCAAACCGGGAGAUAGCUGGUUCUCCCCGAAAGCUAUUUAGGUAGCGCCUCGUGAAUUCAUCUCCGGGGGUAGAGCACUGUUUCGGCAAGGGGGUCAUCCCGACUUACCAACCCGAUGCAAACUGCGAAUACCGGAGAAUGUUAUCACGGGAGACACACGGCGGGUGCUAACGUCCGUCGUGAAGAGGGAAACAACCCAGACCGCCAGCUAAGGUCCCAAAGUCAUGGUUAAGUGGGAAACGAUGUGGGAAGGCCCAGACAGCCAGGAUGUUGGCUUAGAAGCAGCCAUCAUUUAAAGAAAGCGUAAUAGCUCACUGGUCGAGUCGGCCUGCGCGGAAGAUGUAACGGGGCUAAACCAUGCACCGAAGCUGCGGCAGCGACGCUGAUGCGUUGUUGGGUAGGGGAGCGUUCUGUAAGCCUGCGAAGGUGUGCUGUGAGGCAUGCUGGAGGUAUCAGAAGUGCGAAUGCUGACAUAAGUAACGAUAAAGCGGGUGAAAAGCCCGCUCGCCGGAAGACCAAGGGUUCCUGUCCAACGUUAAUCGGGGCAGGGUGAGUCGACCCCUAAGGCGAGGCCGAAAGGCGUAGUCGAUGGGAAACAGGUUAAUAUUCCUGUACUUGGUGUUACUGCGAAGGGGGGACGGAGAAGGCUAUGUUGGCCGGGCGACGGUUGUCCCGGUUUAAGCGUGUAGGCUGGUUUUCCAGGCAAAUCCGGAAAAUCAAGGCUGAGGCGUGAUGACGAGGCACUGCGGUGCUGAAGCAACAAAUGCCCUGCUUCCAGGAAAAGCCUCUAAGCAUCAGGUAACAUCAAAUCGUACCCCAAACCGACACAGGUGGUCAGGUAGAGAAUACCAAGGCGCUUGAGAGAACUCGGGUGAAGGAACUAGGCAAAAUGGUGCCGUAACUUCGGGAGAAGGCACGCUGAUAUGUAGGUGAAGUCCCUCGCGGAUGGAGCUGAAAUCAGUCGAAGAUACCAGCUGGCUGCAACUGUUUAUUAAAAACACAGCACUGUGCAAACACGAAAGUGGACGUAUACGGUGUGACGCCUGCCCGGUGCCGGAAGGUUAAUUGAUGGGGUUAGCGCAAGCGAAGCUCUUGAUCGAAGCCCCGGUAAACGGCGGCCGUAACUAUAACGGUCCUAAGGUAGCGAAAUUCCUUGUCGGGUAAGUUCCGACCUGCACGAAUGGCGUAAUGAUGGCCAGGCUGUCUCCACCCGAGACUCAGUGAAAUUGAACUCGCUGUGAAGAUGCAGUGUACCCGCGGCAAGACGGAAAGACCCCGUGAACCUUUACUAUAGCUUGACACUGAACAUUGAGCCUUGAUGUGUAGGAUAGGUGGGAGGCUUUGAAGUGUGGACGCCAGUCUGCAUGGAGCCGACCUUGAAAUACCACCCUUUAAUGUUUGAUGUUCUAACGUUGACCCGUAAUCCGGGUUGCGGACAGUGUCUGGUGGGUAGUUUGACUGGGGCGGUCUCCUCCUAAAGAGUAACGGAGGAGCACGAAGGUUGGCUAAUCCUGGUCGGACAUCAGGAGGUUAGUGCAAUGGCAUAAGCCAGCUUGACUGCGAGCGUGACGGCGCGAGCAGGUGCGAAAGCAGGUCAUAGUGAUCCGGUGGUUCUGAAUGGAAGGGCCAUCGCUCAACGGAUAAAAGGUACUCCGGGGAUAACAGGCUGAUACCGCCCAAGAGUUCAUAUCGACGGCGGUGUUUGGCACCUCGAUGUCGGCUCAUCACAUCCUGGGGCUGAAGUAGGUCCCAAGGGUAUGGCUGUUCGCCAUUUAAAGUGGUACGCGAGCUGGGUUUAGAACGUCGUGAGACAGUUCGGUCCCUAUCUGCCGUGGGCGCUGGAGAACUGAGGGGGGCUGCUCCUAGUACGAGAGGACCGGAGUGGACGCAUCACUGGUGUUCGGGUUGUCAUGCCAAUGGCACUGCCCGGUAGCUAAAUGCGGAAGAGAUAAGUGCUGAAAGCAUCUAAGCACGAAACUUGCCCCGAGAUGAGUUCUCCCUGACUCCUUGAGAGUCCUGAAGGAACGUUGAAGACGACGACGUUGAUAGGCCGGGUGUGUAAGCGCAGCGAUGCGUUGAGCUAACCGGUACUAAUGAACCGUGAGG